UUGAUGAUGGAUGUUGAUUAUGGAUGUUGAUGAUGGAUGUUGAUGAUGGAUGUUGAUGAUGGAUGUUGAUGAUGGAUGUUGAUGAUGGAUGUUGAUGAUGGAGGUUGAUGAUGGAUGUUGAUGAUGGAUGUUGAUGAUGGAGGUUGAUGAAUGGUGUUGAUGAUGGAUGUUGAUGAUGGAGGUUGAUGAAUGGUGUUGAUGAUGGAUGUUGAUUAUGGAUGUUGAUGAUGGAUGUUGAUGAUGGAUGUUGAUGAUGGAUGUUGAUGAUGGAUGUUGAUGAUGGAGGUUGAUGAUUGAUGUUGAUGAUGGAUGUUGAUGAUGGAGGUUGAUGAUGGAGGUUGAUGAUGGAUGUUGAUGAUGGAGGUUGAUGAAUGGUGUUGAUGAUGGAUGUUGAUGAUGGAGGUUGAUGAAUGGUGUUGAUGAUGGAUGUUGAUUAUGGAUGUUGAUGAUGGAUGUUGAUGAUGGAUGUUGAUGAUGGAUGUUGAUGAUGGAUGUUGAUGAUGGAUGUUGAUGAUGGAGGUUGAUGAAUGGUGUUGAUGAUGGAUGUUGAUGAUGGAUGUUGAUGAUGGAUGUUGAUGAUGGAUGUUGAUGAUGGAGGUUGAUAAAUGGUGUUGAUGAUGG